GGAGAAGUCCUGAAAAAAGAGCAAAAAGGAAAGAAAGAGAGAAAGAAGGCAGAAUACAGCCAAACAUAUGCAAGAAUAACCGCAGAGGUACAAUCAUCUGUCUCUCUCACUCUAAUCCUCUUUUUGUAUUUUCGUCUCAUCAUCAAUUCAUCU
rnacentral:ribozyme from 14 species